GGGGUUGAAAGCUCCGGCGGUGAAGGAUGAGCCCGCGGCCUAUCAGCUUGUUGGUGGGGUAAUGGCCUACCAAGGCGACGACGGGUAGCCGGCCUGAGAGGGCGACCGGCCACACUGGGACUGAGACACGGCCCAGACUCCUACGGGAGGCAGCAGUGGGGAAUAUUGCACAAUGGGCGAAAGCCUGAUGCAGCGACGCCGCGUGAGGGAUGACGGCCUUCGGGUUGUAAACCUCUUUCAGCAGGGAAGAAGCGCAAGUGACGGUACCUGCAGAAGAAGCGCCGGCUAACUACGUGCCAGCAGCCGCGGUAAUACGUAGGGCGCAAGCGUUGUCCGGAAUUAUUGGGCGUAAAGAGCUCGUAGGCGGCUUGUCACGUCGGAUGUGAAAGCCCGGGGCUUAACCCCGGGUCUGCAUUCGAUACGGGCUAGCUAGAGUGUGGUAGGGGA
rnacentral:rRNA from 1 species